rnacentral:rRNA from 1 species
UACAGAGGUCUCAAGCGUUGUUCGGAUUCAUUGGGCGUAAAGGGUGCGUAGGCGGCGCGGUAAGUCGGGUGUGAAAUCUCGGAGCUUAACUCCGAAACUGCAUUCGAUACUGCCGUGCUUGAGGACUGGAGAGGAGACUGGAAUUUACGGUGUAGCGGUGAAAUACGCAGAUAUCAGGAGGAACACCGGUGGCGAAGGCGGGUCUCUGGGCCGAUACUGACGCUGAGGAGCGAAAGCGUGGGGAGCGAACAGG